GUAGGUGGCAAGCGUUGUCCGGAAUUAUUGGGCGUAAAGCGCGCGCAGGCGGUUCUUUAAGUCUGAUGUGAAAGCUUACGGCUUAACUGUGGAGGGUUAUUGGAAACUGGAGAACUUGAGUACAGAAGAGGAAAGCGGAAUUCCACGUGUAGCGGUGAAAUGCGUAGAGAUGUGGAGGAACACCAGUGGCGAAGGCGGCUUUCUGGUCUGUAACUGACGCUGAGGCGCGAAAGCGUGGGGAGCAAACAGGGAUUAGAUACCCUGGUAGUCCACGCCGUAAACGAUGAGUGCUAAGUGUUAGGGGGUUUCCCGCCCCUUAGUGCUGCAGCUAACGCAUUAAGCACUCCGCCUGGGGAGUACGGCCGCAAGGCUG
rnacentral:rRNA from 1 species